rnacentral:rRNA from 1 species
UAGGUAGGUGGUCUCAUUUGUCAGGGGUGAAAGCCUUGGGCUUAACCCAAGAAGUGCCCCUGAAACGGUGAGACUAGAGUUCUGGAGAGGGUCGUGGAAUUCCCGGUGUAGCGGUGAAAUGCGUAGAGAUCGGGAGGAACACCAGAGGCGAAGGCGGCGACCUGGACAGAUACUGACACUAAACUACGAAAGCGUGGGGAGCAAACA